UGUUCAGUCCUCGUCUUCUUCUGCGCCUCCCACUGUAAGCUCUGACUUAUCUGUUCUCACACCUGCCAUGGUCCAACAGAUGAUUGUGUCUGCUUUUACGGCUUUAGGCCUGCAAGGAUCAGGUGUCGGGGACGGUGAUCGCGAAGGGGCCUAAAGUGGGACAUCUAUUUCCUUUACAAUUUUCUAUUCCUAAUGUUGUUUCCUUUGCUUGUAUGGCUACUGCCAAUAAUAAUGAAGUCUGGCAUAAGAAAUUAGGUCAUCCUAA